rnacentral:rRNA from 1 species
UACGGAGGGGACUAGCGUUGUUCGGAAUUACUGGGCGUAAAGCGCACGUAGGCGGAUUUGUAAGUCAGGGGUGAAAUCCCGGGGCUCAACCUCGGAACUGCCUUUGAUACUGCAAAUCUCGAGUCCGGAAGAGGUGAGUGGAAUUCCUAGUGUAGAGGUGAAAAUUCGUUGAUAUUAGGAAGAACACCAGUGGCGAAGGCGGCUCACUGGUCCGGUACUGACGCUGAGGUGCGAAAGCGUGGGGAGCAAACAGGG